rnacentral:misc_RNA from 1 species
AAAAGUCGUAACAAGGUUUCCGUAGGUGAACCUGCGGAAGGAUCAUUAACACUUUUUAUUAUUUUGUUUUUUUUCUAAAACAAAAUUUAAAACCCCACAAUUUUGGAUGAAUUUAAUUAAUUUAUUUUUUAAUUUAUUUUUUUUAUUAUAACCCUAUUAUUUGACUAACAUUUUUAUUUAAUUAUUAAAAAAUUAAAAAAACAACUCUUAACAACGGAUAUCUUGGCUCUC